AAAUUGAAGAGUUUGAUCAUGGCUCAGAUUGAACGCUGGCGGCAGGCCUAACACAUGCAAGUCGAACGGUAACAGGAAGCAGCUUGCUGCUUCGCUGACGAGUGGCGGACGGGUGAGUAAUGUCUGGGAAACUGCCUGAUGGAGGGGGAUAACUACUGGAAACGGUAGCUAAUACCGCAUAACGUCGCAAGACCAAAGAGGGGGACCUUCGGGCCUCUUGCCAUCGGAUGUGCCCA
rnacentral:rRNA from 1 species